UACGUAGGGUGCGAGCGUUAAUCGGAACUACUGGGCGUAAAGUGUGCGCAGGCGGCCGCGCAAGUCGAGUGUGAAAGCCCCGGGCUUAACUUGGGAAUUGCGCUCGAAACUACGUGGCUGGAGUGUGGCAGAGGAAGGUGGAAUUCCACGUGUAGCGGUGAAAUGCGUAGAGAUGUGGAGGAACACCAAUGGCGAAGGCAGCCUUCUGGGCCAACACUGACGCUCAUGCACGAAAGCGUGGGGAGCAAACAGG
rnacentral:rRNA from 1 species